CAAUAGCAUAUAUUAACGUUGUUGCAGUUGAAAAGCUCGUAGUUGAACUUUUGGUAGGAGCGACCUGGCCUUGGGCGCAUGCCCUUGUUUGCCGUGUGUCGUAUCUGGCCAUCCUUUCUUCUUCGGAAGGAAUCUUUUACUGUGAGUAAACUGGAGUGCUCAAAACAAGACGUUUGUUUGGUACAUUAAAGCAUGGAAUAAUAAGAUAGGACCUGGUUACUAUUUUGUUGGUUUGCAUAGCUAGGUAAUGAUUAACAGGGACAGUUGGGGGUAUUCGUAUUUAAUUGUCAGAGGUGAAAUUCUUGGAUUUAUGAAAGACGAACGACUGCGAAAGCAUUUACCAAGGAUGUUUUCAUUAA
rnacentral:rRNA from 1 species